rnacentral:rRNA from 1 species
UUCCAGACUCCUACGGGAGGCAGCAGUGAGGAAUAUUGGUCAAUGGUCGGGAGACUGAACCAGCCAAGCCGCGUGAGGGAUGAAGGUACAGAGUAUUGUAAACCUCUUUUGUCAGGGAACAAAGGCGGGGACGUGUCCCCGGAUGAGUGUACCUGAAGAAAAAGCAUCGGCUAACUCCGUGCCAGCAGCCGCGGUAAUACGGAGGAUGCGAGCGUUAUCCGGAUUUAUUGGGUUUAAAGGGUGCGCAGGCGGAAGAUAAAGUCAGGGGAAAAAUGGAGGGGCUCAACCUCUUCGAGCCGUUGAAACUGGUUUUCUUGAGUGAGUGAGAAGUAUGCGGAAUGCGUGGUGUAGCGGUGAAAUGCAUAGAUAUCACGCAGAACUCCGAUUGCGAAGGCAGCAUACCGGCGCUCAACUGACGCUCAUGCACGAAAGUGUGGGUAUCGAACAGGAUUAGAUACCCCGGUA